rnacentral:rRNA from 1 species
UACGGAAGGGGGCUAGCGUUGCUCGGAAUCACUGGGCGUAAAGCGCCCGUAGGCGGCUUGUUAAGUCAGGGGUGAAAUCCUGGAGCUCAACUCCAGAACUGCCUUUGAUACUGGCGAUCUCGAGUCCGGGAGAGGUGAGUGGAACUGCGAGUGUAGAGGUGAAAUUCGUAGAUAUUCGCAAGAACACCAGUGGCGAAGGCGGCUCACUGGCCCGGUACUGACGCUGAGGUGCGAAAGCGUGGGGAGCAAACAGG